rnacentral:lncRNA from 1 species
UUUUAUUAAAUAAAAACUUAUAUUAUAUUCUUAUAUUUUUAUUUAAUUAUGGGUUUUUUAAACCUUUUCAUCUGUCUUAUUAAUUAGUUUUAUUAUUUUAUUGUCGGUAUGUACUUAUUAUGUUCUUUUGUAUUGUAUUUUUCCAGGGCAGGAGAGUGGAGGAAAUAAUGAUACAUACUCCGGAUUAAAGAAGACAUCUGUUUUUUAGUCUGUUUUAUAAUGGAUGUAAUUUUUGUAGGGCACUCUUUUUCCCCCCUUGAGUUUUUUCCCACAGGGUUUUACUCUUGAGGGGUUUUAACGAGGCCCUUUUUUGUGGGUUAUCUCUUCUGACUUGAAAGGCUAUGUUAUCUAAGCGUCCGGAGUAUGUACAUACUUUCGGUUAGAUGAUAUACCUUCUUGAACGAAGGAAACUCAGUCCAUCCGGAUUUGUAACUUUCAAUCUUGGUUUAAUACAACCGUUUUUUGUGA